rnacentral:rRNA from 1 species
AUGUGCAUCCCAAAGAAGAAAGGUGGCGUGGGUUUUAGAGACAUCCACUAUUUUAAUCUUGCUCUCUUGGCUAAACAGGCUUGGAGGCUCAUUGACAACCCAGAAUCAUAUGUGCCUACCCUUAAGACAAAAUAUUUUCCGGAUGGGGAUCUUAUCGAUGCAACUUUGAAAAAGAAAGCUUCGUACACAUGGCAUAGUAUAUGGCUGGAGUUGAAACACUGA